AAGGUAUUGAAUAAGAUUUUAAAUGAGUGCUAAGAGAAUGAUUAAACAAUUAAAAGCUUUCUUUAAUUAAAAAAUUAAAUUUAAUUUUUUCAGUGCAAAAGCAAAAAUAAAAUUUAGGGACAAGAAGACCCUAUGAAUUUUUAUUGUUAAUAWWUWAAAUUUAAGUUAUUAAUAAUUUAAUUGGGGCGAUAAAAAAAGAAUAAGUAUCUUUUUAGUUAUAAAAUAAGUUCCGUUUUUAGCGAUUAAAUGAAAUAAAUACUCUAGGGWWAMCAGCGUAAAAA
rnacentral:rRNA from 1 species